rnacentral:lncRNA from 1 species
AACAUAUCCCUUCAGAAGUAAAUGUCAUCAAAUAAGAUUACUAAAAUGAUUAUCACAGUUACAGUUAUGUCACUUGGUCUGCCCUACCUGAAGUCAUUAUCUGAGGCUACAAGGAGAUGGUUGCAGGAGGCACUUAGAUAAAGACAACGUCUUCCCCUCCGACCAACACGGAAUCCGCUGCCUUCAGUCCGUCCUCGUUUUGCCAUUGUUCUUCCUACCAUGUACCGAUUAUCCACGACAGGCCUGACAAGCGACGAGUCAGCUGAAGCACCACACAGAAGUACAUCUGAUUCAUCAGGAAGCUACUUUUCUGUUUGAGAAAAUCAUGUGAUAAACUCAUAAACAUGUUAACUCACUUGUACUGCUGCUCACACAUAGAACAUGAGAACUAUCACAUAUAAACCUCCAAAACUAGCAACAACUUUCUCCAGCGUCUAUUGCCAAAAUCGAAGCUUCUCUUCUAGAUCGUGCAAUAAAUGCAACUAAAAUAUAAAGAGUAAUUUGCGCUGAUUGAAGUACACAAGUACCAUAGUACAAAAUCCAUUGCAGCUCCUGCUCCACUUGUGCCGCUAUGUAUAAAUCAAAUAAACCUCCAAGUAAGCAAUUCAACAAGCAAGGCAUGAACACAAAACAGAAAUGAAUAUAUAGUUCAGUAGUUCUACGAAUUAACCAGAUAGUGGAAUCCUAAUCAUAUUUUUGAAAUACAAAUAGAUCAAACAAAUAAGGACAUUGCUGGAGUUAUAGGAGGUUAAAAAAGAAAUGAGAGGAUGAGAAAUCAGGGCUCACCUGAAGCAACAGAGGUGAAAGCUGCAGACCAAGAAAGGAUGCCCCUGCCUCUCCCGGCAAGGAGCAUGCCUUCGUGAGGCACCGACCUCAAAUCUGUCUCUGGAAUCUCCUGCCUUUGUUGGUUAGCCAUCUAAGUACAAAUUAAACCAAAAAAUAUAAUCAUAUAAAGGAGAUUACUUUCCAAUAGUCACUGGCAAAAUACAGCCAUGACACACCUAUUAUAUGUGUGCAUCCACCUGUCGGAGUGAUAAUCACUAAAAGGAAGUAGGAAAUAACCAAGUAGCUGUAUUACUGCUAAAAGGUGAAUAUAGUUAAUUAGGCUUCUGUAACCAAUCGCAAGAAACAAAUAUGUUUGCACCCUGUUGCUGAUUCGCGGAAUAAAAAACGUACUUGAUCAAUACUAGUACAAAAAUAAAUAUGCAAACAAACUAAUCUGCAAAAAAUGGGAGUCAAAUUAAGAUUGAUGGGAGGACCCCAGGGAUAUUUGUGGAGAUGGAUGAUUGGCUCUUGUAGGUAUUCUGUCAAACAGGUUGUGAGCAAAACAGUCUGGUACAAAUUCAAAGAAAUUAUGGAGGGAGCAGACGUGCUAGAUUGAUUUCUAAAAAUAUGCAAUGACAUAUGAGUGAUGGCAGGGCUAUCUCACCUCCGAAAAGGGAUCUGAAUCCUGUCUCGCCUGGCUCCAAGGGCUAUCUCACAGCAGGGGCCACACAGACCACAACUCCAUAUGAUGAGGGUCGACAUGGUGGGG